rnacentral:rRNA from 1 species
GAUAAACGCUGGCGGCGCACAUAAGACAUGCAAGUUGAACGGACUUAAUCGAAAUAUUUAUAUUUUGAAGCGGUUAGUGGCGGACUGGUGAGUAACGCGUAAGGAACCUGCCUAUUAGAGGGGAAUAACAGUGAGAAAUCAUUGCUAAUACCGCAUAUGCCAUAGAUAUCACAUGAUAACAGUGGGAAAGGAGCAAUCCGCUAAUAGAUGGCCUUGCGUCUGAUUAGAUAGUUGGUGGGGUAACGGCCUACCAAGUCGACGAUCAGUAGCCGGACUGAGAGGUUGAACGGCCACAUUGGGACUGAGAUACGGCCCAGACUCCUACGGGAGGCAGCCGUCGGGCAUAUUGCGCAAUGGAGGAAACUCUGACGCAGUGACGCCGCGUAUAGGAAGAAGGUUUUCGGAUUGUAAACUAUUGUCGUUAGGGAAGAGAAAGGACAGUACCUAAGGAGGAAGCUCCGGCUAACUACGUG